GUUUUUUUUUUUUUUUUUUUCUUGUGGAGUUUACUUGCAAGUAUCCACUGUAAAAUUCUAGAGGUGAGAAGUAUUGUAGCAGGGCACCACAUGUAAGAUAUAAUGCCAAUUAAAUGAAGAAUUUUUCUAUUAAGAUAGGGCCAUGAUGUGAAAUGAGCAACAAAAUUUUCAGAAUUAAGAAUAAUUAUCUUAAAUUUAUUUUUCUAGGGGUUAAAUUUCCACAAGGGUCACAUCAAUUAAGCAAUGGUAGAUCGCGUAAUCUUAAGGAUUUGAUUCUUUCUGGCG
rnacentral:misc_RNA from 1 species